GUUUGGCCCAUCACUUGAGCACUUGGUGUGUAGUGCUCAAACCCUGCCCAUUUCCUGGUGGCAGCCCUCUGUGCUUCCUGCUGAAAAAGAAAAGAGCUCUGGCAUCCGGAUCUCCCCUCUACGCCCCAUGAGCUUAAGCCGUGGAUGAGUUUCUCCUCACUGCUCAGUGGCAGCAGAGGCACACUGCUGCUUUUGUGUUGCUUUCCUGAUUUUUAAGCACACAGCAAGUACACUUUGCUUCAACCAGUGCCUGCUAGCUCGUCUAGGCCUCGGUGCUCCAGCUCCUGCCAGUGGGCUUCAGGCCGCACUCCGAGCCCGAACUUUCAUCUUCUUGGCCUUUGCGGCAGCCAACAGAGUGGUGUUAAGCCCUCUUUUUCUUCCAUGGUCAUUGGACUGAGGACCUGCUGAGAGGUGUUGCGCCCUUCCCAAGGGCCGCUGCUGUGUUGUGCUGGUUUUAUCUGUUUUUUUUUAUCUGUUUUUAUUGUGUUUGUUUGAAGGUGGGCAUUGAUUUGUGUUUUUUUUUUUUU